AUUGAACGCUGGCGGCAGGCCUAACACAUGCAAGUCGAGCGAGCGGCGGACGGGUGAGUAAUGUAUGGGGAUCUGCCCGAUAGAGGGGGAUAACUACUGGAAACGGUGGAUAAUACCGCAUACUAUCGGGUGAGCCCAAGUGGGAUUAGGUAGUUGGUGAGGUAAAGGCUCACACACCGACGAUCGCUAGCUGGUCUGAGAGGAAGACCAGCCACACUGGGACUGAGACACGGCCCAGACUCCUACGGGAGGCAGCAGUGGGGAAUAUUGCGCAAUGGGGGCAACCCUGACGCAGCCAUGCCGCGUGAAUGAAGAAGGCCUUCGGGUUGUAAAGUUCUUUCGGUAGCGAGGCGUUAACUACAGAAGAAGCACCGGCUAACUCCGUGCCAGCAGCCGCGGUAAUUC
rnacentral:rRNA from 1 species